UAAUCCACAGCUUUUUAUACCAGUAGACACACAAAUAGGUAUAAUGUGCUGUUUAUUGCCUUUUUGGGUUGAACUAAUGAUGCUUCCUUUUCCUUUGUGUCUCAGAAAAAAACCCAACAGCUUUGCCUUGGAGGUUAAUGCAGUCACAUGCUAAAAAGAAGUGUAAGGUCAGAGAAAAAGGAAGAGGCCAGCAUGGAUUUCACCACCAGAUGACAUACAUCCCAACGCACUCUCUGCUAGGAAUGAGGCAGAUUCUGGCUUCCCUUCUGAAGGAGGCAGCUCCCAGAAAGGCUCAUCCGGAGCUUGCAGGCUAUGCAGGUGAAGGAAGCAGGGGGGAAGGACAGCCUGGUGCUUCAGUAGGAGACAGCAGUGAAUACUUGUGGGCAAGGGAAUGGAUACGUCCUAAUGAACAAGUUGGACUCUGUGUGAGGCAGCAUCUUCCAGCCUCCCUGAUAGCAGGAGCCCAUCAGGCCAAACACAGCUGGCAGCAGCCCUCCAUCCUGGUGGUAAGACCAGAAUGGAUCAUGUGAUCAUCUGCAUGAAACAUCUAAAUUCUCGCUCGGGUAAGAGAGAACAGCAAUAAAGAAACUUUGAGGGCUGAUUUAACAAUCCCCUGUGAUGGAUCUUGUCAUCAGGAGCUGUCUUGAAAUGGAUGUGUUUCCCCCGAGUGUUAAUUACAACUGAACGUUGAACUUGAAG